rnacentral:rRNA from 1 species
AUUGAACGCUAGCGGGAUGCUUUACACAUGCAAGUCGAACGAGUGGAGGACGGGUGAGUAAUAUAUCGGAACGUGCCCAGUAGCGGGGGAUAACUACUCGAAAGAGUGGCUAAUACAGCAUACUAUUGGAGCGGUCGCUAUCGGAUUAGCUAGUUGGUGGGGUAAAGGAAAACAAAGGCAACGAGCCGUAGCGGGUUUGAGAGGAAGACCAGCCACACUGGGACGUAGACACGGCCCAGACUCCUACGGGAGGCAGCAGUGGGGAAUUUUGGACAAUGGGGGAAACCCUGAUCCAGCCAUCCCGCGUGUAUGAGAAGGCCUUCGGGUUGGAAAGUACUUUUGGCAGAGAAGCGGUAUCUGAAGAAUAAGCACCGGCUAACUACGUGCCAGCCGCCGCGGUAAUUC